rnacentral:rRNA from 1 species
GAUGAACGCUGGCGGCGUGCCUAAUACAUGCAAGUCGAGCGAACAGACGAGGAGCUUGCUCCUCUGACGUUAGCGGCGGACGGGUGAGUAACACGUGGAUAACCUACCUAUAAGACUGGGAUAACUUCGGGAAACCGGAGCUAAUACCGGAUAAUAUAUUGAACCGCAUGGUUUAAUAGUGAAAGACGGUUUUGCUGUCACUUAUAGAUGGAUCCGCGCCGCAUUAGCUAGUUGGUAAGGUAACGGCUUACCAAGGCAACGAUGCGUAGCCGACCUGAGAGGGUGAUCGGCCACACUGGAACUGAGACACGGUCCAGACUCCUACGGGAGGCAGCAGUAGGGAAUCUUCCGCAAUGGGCGAAAGCCUGACGGAGCAACGCCGCGUGAGUGAUGAAGGUCUUCGGAUCGUAAAACUCUGUUAUUAGGGAAGAACAAAUGUGUAUGUAACUAUGCACGUCUUGACGGUACCUAAUCAGAAAGCCACGGCUAACUACGUG